UCCAAAGUGAAUGGCCAGAGAUGGAGAACAUCCGAAAAAGUAAUUAAGAAUCUCCAAACCAUAAAAAGAUUACCCACAUCCUCCUCAGAGCAUGUCCAUGGCUCAACUUCAAAUGGCUUUCUCAAGCAGACACUCUUUGGUGGAAAUUCAUUGAGCAAAUCUCUAAAUGCUUCUAGAUUUUGUAGAGUUUCACUGUCAAGUGACAAUGUUGAGGGCGAACCCUUCUUUGAGGCUGCUAGCUCCAUCAAUUCCAGACGUUCAUCUUCAAUUAAUUCUGUUGAUUCUUUCGCUAUUCUUCGGGCAUUAGCCCUUACGUUAGCCGCUUUAAGCCUUGCAACCUCCUUCUCUCGGCGCAUUUCUUCUUUAAGCCUCAUUCUCUCUGCUUUCAUAGACUCUUUCUGCAAAAACUUCUGUCUUCGUUCCAUCUCACGCCUUUGCUCACGCUGAUACCUCUCUUCCUCACGCAGCUUUUCGCGGAGCAGUCUUUCUUCCUCUUUCCGCCUUUCCCUGUCCUGUCUUUCCAUAUCUUUCCUCAUUUGCUCUUCUCUCUUUCUUUGUAACAUGUCUUGCUUCUCAAGCUCUUUCCGGAUCCUCUUCUCAUGGGCCUCCACUUCUCUUGCGAUUCUUGCCUCUUCACUCUUUCGCUUUCUUUCCAACCGUUCCUCGUCAUGGAUGACUCUUUUAUCAGAAGACAUAAAUGGACUCUCCAACGCCAUCAUUGGCUGACCACUAUAACUAGCCUCCACUUCAAUGUUCACAAGAGAUCUUUGUGGAACAGCCUCGACCUCAGCAGAAGCUGG
rnacentral:misc_RNA from 1 species